GAAGAACCAGGAUCUCAAAACUAUUCAGUCACAGGUUGAUAUGCUAGCGCUUCCUGAGCCGAGUCUCACAUCAUGUGGAAUACCCUGAUUUGAUCUAACUGCAAGGAACAGUUUCCCACUUUUAUACAUGGAGGUAUUUUGGAAGAGGGUUUUGUUUUUGUUUUAAAUGCAACCCUGCUGUUCCAGCUCACAUUUUGUUUUCCCUAAGAGAAAAGAAAAACAACUGGAAAAUGGAUAAGAACUGCAUUGUUCCAAUCCCUACUUUCUGCCAUUUCAGUUAAUUACUGUAUUGCAGAAGUUGGUGACACUUUUCAAGAAACUGAAGUGAGCUGACCAUUGUGAAGGAAGAGAGGCUGACAGCAGAAGAGAGAGGCAAAGGGAUAAUGCCCCAGAGGCAGAAAAAAGCCAUGAGCAAAUUGAAUUACCACAACCCAUCCCAGUGAGUCCUCUGCCCUCUCUUGUCUACCUCACUUUGCUCAUUUAACCUAAAGAAAGACUUGUAGUACUGUAAAAGAGUAAAAUCUAUCCCUAUAACAGACAGUGUGACUUAGACGCAUGAGGACAGCCUUUGGGCCUUGUAUUCCAGCUAUACAGGCAGCACUUCCAUGUGGGAGCAAGGCGGAUGUGGUACCCACCCUAUCUGCAGGACAUAGGCUGCAGCCAUCUAUGCCCUUGUGGCCCUAUCUUGGCUUGAUGAAUUCCUCUCCACCUCAUCCUCUAUCUUGUCAGUGCUGAGCAUCAUGAUGUUAAGCCUAUUGGAAUACUUGUCUUAAAUCACAUGGAAAUAUAAAGCUUCUUCUCACAGGUGAAAUUCAGAGGCAAACACAAAGACCUGCCUGGUGCUUACAAGCUUCAUUACAACUUGUGCUGGCCAUGAUGGUCUCCCACUCCAAAGGAAGUGCCUAUAGAGCUGUGCAAAACUCAUCCCAUCCUGCUGAGAAUUUUCAGAUCUCAGAUUUUGCUUUGUCACCAACACAAAGAAAGCCGACCAGCUCUCCUCAGUGCCUGUGCCUGUUCAGGCUGCUCCCCUUAUUGAUGGGAGAAGGUGCUUCUGCUGAGGGACCUGUCUCACUGGAGGUAAAGAUGGAUGCAGAUCAAGCUGAUGUCAAGACUCCCAGAGCCCUAGUUUUCCUCUAGCUUCUGCUCCUGACAGCUGGG
rnacentral:lncRNA from 1 species